rnacentral:rRNA from 1 species
UGUCAUAGCCUAACGGCUGAACCAGCAACUUGGAGGAAAUGUAUAGCGAAAGCUAAUUGUAUUAGCAGGCAAUGUUUAAUACAAUAUCGACUCUGUCGACUAAAAAUCUAGGUAGAGUAAUGAUAAUGACAUUUUUUACCUAUGUGUCUUGACCAAGUCACGUGCCAGCAGUCGCGGUAACACGUGGAAGACUAGUGUUAUUCAUCUUUAAUAGGUUUAAAGGGUACCCAGACGGUAUAUUUAGCCCGAAAAAGGUACUAAAUAAACUAGAGUUUAAUGUGAGGUGGUUCAAUAGUACUAAUGGUGUAGAGAUGAAAUUCUGUCAUACCAGAAGGAGACUGGUAGCGGCGAAAGCAACCAUUUAUGCAAAAACUGACGUUGAAGGACGAAGGCUAGUGUAACCAAAAGGAUUAGAUACCCCAGCAGUGCUAGCAGAAAACGCUGAAUGCCAUAGAUUAGAUUAUAUUUGUUCUAUAAAUGCCAUAGCUUAGAUUAUACUUGUUCUAUAAAUGCCAUAGAUUAGAUUAUAUUUGUUCUAUAAAUGAAAGUGUAAGCAUUCCACCUCAAGAGUAAUUUGGCAACAUUGGAAUUGAAAUCAUUAGACCGUUUCUGAAACCAGUAGUGAAGUAUGUUGUAUAACUAGACGACCCGCAAAAAACCUUACCACAAUUUGAAUAUUUUUAUUUUUAUAAUUAUACAAGCGCUGCACGGUUGUCUUCAGUUAAUGUCGUGAGAUUCUGGUUAAUGCCAUUAAAUUAACGUAAACCCUUACUUUAUUUUUAUAUAAAGUAGUUCACCACUAUAUUGGAUAUGAUAAGAGGGACUAAGACAAGUCAUCAUGGCC